AAGGCUGCAUUCAAAAGCAUGAGUGACUUUCUUGCUCCCAAGGGCCAAACUCUCUGGCUGAUUGACUCAGGCUACAGGUUCAUUCAAGGUCAGAGUGCUGCAAAUCAGUUACCCUCAUCCCUUUGGACUAUGGGAGGAUGUCUUUGAUGAUAGCCUGUUAUGACUGAACUCAUGGCCCAAGCAGAGAACCAUGAGGAGGCUGGAAAUAUGAGAAACUCACAUCCUGUGACUUCCGCUUGCUGUUUGUUGGAGAGAACUGUAUCUUGGGACCAACCUCAAGCUCCAGUUCAAUAAAUCCGGAAGAAGACAUUGGUUGGCCCAGCUUCGGUCUCAUGCCCAUCCCUGGACCAAGACGAUGAGUUGCUCUCUCUGAAUCAGCCUGCAUCAAGUGUUCAGGGUUUGAGUGCAUUACCAAAUCUUCUGAUUUAAGUUUUAAAUUUGCUGAUAAGUGGUAGUCUGUAGACAUCUCAUAUCCUUUUGAAAAUAAGAACAUGUUAAAAGUUAGCUUCCUCAAGGUAACAAUUGAUCAGUAAUUAUCAGAGAGGAAAAGGAAGAAGAAAAUGAGAAUAAGGAAGAAGGUAGAAAGGGAAAUUCAUUAUAUUCUUUUUCAUAUAAAUAGAGUUACCAUAAAAAUCUUUUCACAUCAAUUUUGUACAUAUUUCAGAAUUUCUUGUAAUACAUACCCAGAAAUGUAAUUAUUAUUAUUCUAUUUGAAGAAAUAUAAAUUCCAUUAGUCAAAUGACAAAAACUCUGUAUUUUAAUCAUAUGGCCAUGUAGUUAGGUACCUGAAAAUCUACUUAUUCUCCUCUGAACUGCUGAUUCAUCUUGAAGGAGGAAAAAAGAAUCCUGUCUCAGCCAGGUGUGGUGUCCCACGCCUGUAAUCCCAGCGGCUCCGGAGGCUGAGGCAGGAGGAUCACAAGUAGAGAGCCAGUCUCAGCAACAGUGAGGCACUAAUCAACUCAGUGAGACCCUAUCUCUAAAUAAAAUUCAAAAUAGUGCUGAGGAUGUUGCUCAGGGCACCUGAGUUCAAUCCCCAGUACCAAAAAUAAAAAAAUAAACCUGCCUCUUUCAUCCCACUCCAGGCCUAGGCCACUAUCAGUCAGGGGUGUGUAGUGUGGUGUGUCUAAGCAAAGGAGAUUCUUGUGUUGACUUCUGCCUUAUCCCCACCUCUGCCCUCUUUCCCAGGGCUCAAGUAACAUAGGGUUUUUACAUAGCCCCUUACUGGUUCUACUUCUGAGUUCCAAAAGCUCAAAGACUUAAUUAUUACAAAGAACAUUCAAGGUCAAACUGUAAUCCAAUCUAUUAGUGGACUUGUCCAAUGUCUGAAAGCACAAGUUUGUAAUUGUUGUGUCUAUAGAAUUAGUGGUUCUAGGCUGCAAGGGUGUGCAAUUUAUAGGAUUGCCACAAGAUGGCAGCACCCUCAAUGACAAGUUUCUGAAGCUGAAGGAGCCAAAGUAUAAUUUUGCCUGGUUUUUCUUUUUCUUUUUUUAAUUGUUUUAUUGUUGUUUGUUCUUUUUGAUUUUCCCUUUUUUAAAAUCACAGUUAAUACCUAUUUCACACUUAAACAUCUUAGGAUGGUCUCUUGCCUAAUAUGUAACCCUUAAGGUUCCUUUAAACCCCCUCUGUCCCUCCAGAUGGGGAAAGUCACAGUGUUUUGGACAGGAGUCCCCUGUGUUUCUCCUUUGCUAGCAAAGCAAUAAAACUUCUUUUUCCUUUUUCUCAAAACUGUGUCCUCAUUAUUA